CAGUAGUCACUGAAUGGGGACUUUUCUACAGCAAAAUAGCUGGCUAGUGUCCGUUCGUUUGUUUUUGCGGAUUAUAUUUUGCAGGUUAGUGGCUACACUCAAAGUUAAGAAACUGAUCCUGCCGUUUCUCUGUUCACCUUCUUGGAAAGGAAAAGGAAAGUUAGUCACACAGUUGUGUCUGACUGUUUGCAAUCCCAUGGACUGUAGCCUGGCAGGUCCUCUGUCCACGGAAUUCUCCAGCUUCAAGGAUUCGGAUAUUCUGGGGAAACCAAGUGUGAUCUGAAGGUUGAAGCUCAACUGUUCAUUAUUUCUCCAAGUUCUGGGAUAAUGUUAUUAGUUUUUAAGCAUGAGGUGCUUCCCAGGAGAGCUGCUGAGUCCCAACCCGACCAAACCCUUUCACGUCGUGGCCUGUACGAUGCACCAUCAUUGUGGAAUGUCUCUGAGAUGACUUCUGCAGGGACAAGGUACGUUUUCAGUUCCUUGGCGCUUCCCCACUCCUCCUACUGAUGCUUCAUGGACUUACCUCCCAAAUAAACUAGAGUCUCCGGGUCUGCAAAGAAAGAACUCAAGUAGGGCUAGCUUCAUGUGUGUGCGACCUGUGAAAGACCUUGUGUCUAACUGAUUUAACUCCACUGUUGCCAUCUUGAAAUUAUUAAUAAUUCAUAAACAAGGAGCCCCAAGUUUUCAUUUCACACUGGGUCCUGCAAAUUACAUAGUCAGUCUUGAAC
ensembl:lncRNA